UACGUAGGGCGCAAGCGUUGUCCGGAAUUAUUGGGCGUAAAGAGCUCGUAGGCGGCCUGUUGCGUCCGCUGUGAAAUCCCGGGGCUCAACCCCGGGCGUGCAGUGGAUACGGGCUGGCUGGAGGCAGGCAGGGGAGAACGGAAUUCCUGGUGUAGCGGUGAAAUGCGCAGAUAUCAGGAGGAACACCGGUGGCGAAGGCGGUUCUCUGGGCCUGUACUGACGCUGAGGAGCGAAAGCGAGGGGAGCGAACAGG
rnacentral:rRNA from 1 species